rnacentral:rRNA from 1 species
ACGGGAGGCAGCAGUGGGGAAUAUUGGACAAUGGGGGAAACCCUGAUCCAGCGACGCCGCGUGAGUGAAGAAGUAUUUCGGUACGUAAAGCUCUAUCAGCAGGAAAGAAAAUGACGGUACCUGACUAAGAAGCCCCGGCUAACUACGUGCCAGCAGCCGCGGUAAUACGUAGGGGGCAAGCGUUAUCCGGAUUUACUGGGUGUAAAGGGAGCGUAGACGGUUUUGCAAGUCAGAAGUGAAAGCCCGGGGCCCAACCCCGGAACUGCUUUUGAAACUGUAGAACUGGAGUGCAGGAGAGGUAAGUGGAAUUCCUAGUGUAGCGGUGAAAUGCGUAGAUAUUAGGAGGAACACCAGUGGCGAAGGCGGCUUACUGGACUGUAACUGACGUUGAGGCUCGAAGGCGUGGGGAGCAAACAGGAUUAGAUACCCUGGUA